rnacentral:rRNA from 1 species
GAAUAUUGGACAAUGGGCGCAAGCCUGAUCCAGCCAUGCCGCGUGAGUGAUGAAGGCCCUAGGGUUGUAAAGCUCUUUCACCGGUGAAGAUAAUGACGGUAACCGGAGAAGAAGCCCCGGCUAACUUCGUACCAGCAGCCGCGGUAAUACGAAGGGGGCUAGCGUUGUUCGGAAUUACUGGGCGUAAAGCGCACGUAGGCGGAUCGGUCAGUUAGGGGUGAAAUCCCAGGGCUCAACCCUGGAACUGCCUUUAAUACUGCCGGUCUGGAGUUCGAGAGAGGUGAGUGGAAUUCCGAGUGUAGAGGUGAAAUUCGUAGAUAUUCGGAGGAACACCAGUGGCGAAGGCGGCUCACUGGCUCGAUACUGACGCUGAGGUGCGAAAGCGUGGGGAGCAAACAG